rnacentral:lncRNA from 1 species
ACCUGCAACAGUUGUCACAUCAAAACUUGUCCCCAGGAGGAAGGAAGCAUUCUCAGCCAAGGGGAUGGAGUAGGGCGCUGAGCUUCUGCCAACCAUGGAAAGGCCAGCCCUUUGGUUCUCACAUCUGAAGAAAACACCACGAAGGUCCCCUGAAAACUGUCCCAUCGGGCUUCCAUCUCACAUCCCGUGAGCUGACGUCUCCCUCUCUUCCUAGCUGUAAUCUCUUUUUAAAAAGAAAUUGCCCAGACCCCUUUGCAUCGAUAUUCUCUUUUGAACAAAACUGUGUAAAUGGAGGUCCCAUGAUUAAUGUUUUGAGACCUACAACAUUUUAAGACAUUUAUGGGGAAAAACUUCUUUCCAAAUGACUUAACGUAGGAGUCCCUUAAGUAUGCUCUUAGACUGACGUUUCUUAAAUCGUGUGUGAACCUCGUUUAUGAGUGGAAAUUUAAUAACCACUGACUCAUAGCUAGAUAAAAGGGACAUGUCUGAGCUGGGCAGCUUAAUGACACAUUCAAACCAGGGGUUCCACGACGGUGCAGAUGUCACACGCACAGAAUCUGUCCGAUAGCGGUUGCACAAGUCAAGAUUAAAGUGAAAGUCUGAACUGAAGCUUGAGGGUGUGGCUGCGGAUAGCAGCGAGGUGCACAAGUGAAAACAGGCAACCAGAGAGAUGUUUCAGGAGAGGCUCUGAGAACAUCUUCCCACAGCGCUCCAAGCAAGGAGGACACCUGUUACCGAGAUCUGGGACACAGGCAUCGAGUUUCUUUCUUUAUCUAUUGGUUCAAGGAACUAACGUCACCACACUGGACAGAAGCAUGGGAUCUCUGGUAGCUUCUUUUCAAGGUGAACAAGGAACUAUACCAAGGUGGAAUAUAGCCACUAAACAGCUUAGAUAGUUGAACAAGGACUUAAUGUCUCAACACAGGACGAACAGCCUUGUUUGUCCCAGAGACACGCCUUAUAAAGAAAGUAUGUCUUGUCUGCCUGUAAGUCUGUGCAUCGCAUGCAUGCAGUGCCUGCAGAGACCAGAAGAGGGCGUACAUCCCUUGGGACUGGAAGUAGAAACUGUUGUGAGCGCUGGGAACCUAACCCAGAACGGCUGGAGGGGAAGGCCAGGGCAGGCAGUGUGCGCUUAACUGCUGGGCCAUCUUUCCAGAUGCCACAUUAUUUUAAUAGCAGUUGGGAUAAGAUCAAGGUAGAAAGAAACAGGAAAAGAUUUAUAUCACAGACUGCCGCAAUAGAGAACAAGAAAAAAAUGUGCUUUAAUUACGUAAAAGCCAUAGGCUCCGCAGUUAAGUGG